GGGGUCGUGGGGUAGCCUGGCAUCCUACUUGGCUGGGGGCCAAGUGACCUGAGUUCGAAUCUCAGCGACCCCACCA
rnacentral:tRNA from 1 species